AGAGGCUCCAGUCUGGCCACGAGAAUGCAAUGGGAGGUAUUCUUCAUUGAUCUUACUCGAAGUUGAGAACAUGUAUUUUGACUCUGAGAAAUGAAUAGAAGAAGUUUGGUUCCUGUAAGCAAAUGUCUCAGAAGAAUCCUUCUUUGAAGCUGCCACAAAAGCAGAAGACAUUGCGUGACUGUGCAAGUACAAGAACUAAGAGAAACUCAUAAGCACUUGGCAGAGAAGGUUCAAAGUGCACUAAAAGUGACAGACACUGGUUCCUGCAAAGAAAGGCCUGUGCUGUGAAAUACCUAACAGCUCAUCCAGAAUAAGAGUCAAAAUAAGGUUACCAUCUUUUGUCUAAUUUUUACCAAGGUUUGGAGGUCAACUGCAGUGAGGUCUCUAUACCACAGAGUGUUGUUGGCGUCUCACAUGGCCAUUCAUCAGCUCAAUACAAACAAGUCUUCACGGAGGUGGAGUUUCCUCCUCACCUGUUGCUAAACCAGGCAGCGUGGAUUGGCAUAUUCACUGACUUCAUGGCACGAAGGCCUACAAAAGCGGAACAACUUUUCACCAGUGCAAAAAUGUUCCAAAAGAUACUCUCUCUGUCCAAUACACUUAAAGAAAGACAGGAAAGUUCGGAGGCUCCACACGUACUAAAUUCACCUGGAUUAUGGUCAAGUUGCAUUUUAUUUACAUCUCAAAGAUGAGGACACCGAGGCAUCAAAAGGUAUAGUAAUUUUCCUAAGGGGAAAGCAGGGGCCAUCUUAAGAGCUUUGGCUCAUUGGCCUGCCACUGUGAAGAUCAGAAGCAAGCCACUGAGUUGAAACCCUCCACAUUCUUUUCUGCCCUGCAGAUGGAAGAUUUGUUUCAUCCCUUCUGCAUUUCCUGGCUGAUGACCUAUAGUGACUUGGGAAGUUAAUUUGACAACUUGUUCACAAACGUAUUGAAUGAAUAGCCAACAACAGAGUUAACUCUCUAACUAAAGUGACUACAGAGCAGGAGGCACUGGCCAGGCAAAGAAAAUCCACUUCAGAGUCAUCCAGUAGGUUACAGGCAGGGGAAUAAAAAAAAAGGAGCCGAGAGGAAAAUUUCCAGAACAUUUCCAUUUAGAAGCACGAUCAGACUUGUUGACUAAGGUAGCGACGUUAUCUAGGGCAUGCAUUUGACAAUCUGGCACAGGUGAUGAAACUGACAAACACACACAAGAAACUAGCACAUUAUCUGUAAAUUGGUUGUGAUUGAAUAUUUCAUGUCAUCAAGGGAAUAGAGGCAAUGAAAGAAAAGCCUUAUUUCUCUGCAAAGAAAAGAAUUUCUGUCAGAAAGGGACUAGGAAAUAAAAGAGAAAAAUGUCUUAAGAGA
ensembl:lncRNA LINC00393 long intergenic non-protein coding RNA 393